AAGGUACAUGGAUAUGCUUACGGAGAAAGUAAAAGAAAUAUUUCUUAUAGAAGAUAGGGGUCAUGGUGAUGAUCUUAAUACCUUUGAUAAGAUAAUAUCUGACAUCAAUUUUGAGUAAUGGUUAAAUGCAAUGAAGUCAGAAAUUGACUCGAUGCACUUGAACUAAGUAUGGAUCUUAGUGGAUUCACUUGAGAGUAUCGUAUCCA
rnacentral:lncRNA from 1 species